rnacentral:piRNA from 1 species
UACAGCUCUUUCAAAUUUUUC